GCCUCGGUGGCUCAAUGGCAGAGCAGCUGAUUUGUAAUCAGCAGGUUGUGGGUUCGACUCCCACUCGAGGCU
rnacentral:tRNA from 2 species